AGUUAGUUCCAAGAUCUUCAGGGGCCGUCAACUACGUAUAUGACGGCGCAUUGGUGAUUAUUGCUGCGGUUGUUUUGAACUUUUUCUGUGCUCUUGAAAUGAGACAAAGUCAGGCUAAAGCAGUGCUGAUCAAUUUCUAAGUUUAUUGCCUUCUAAUCAGGUUCUCCGCUUUUCAAUGCACAUCCUGGCAUGGUAGUCUUUGGCGCGCUGGUGCCUGUUGCAUUGCACCAUUUUACUGAUGACUCGCGGUUGACAAGUCCCUGUGUUUUUCUUGGCCUCACAGCGGCACUUGCCCUUGGAGAACUCGUAUGUCUCUCUCUAGGCAGACAUAUGGGGCGCAGGGGAAUGUCCAUGUCCCUCUUUGGGACGCGCUCGGUACUCUUGGUGUUUUCUCGGUCCCCGCGAUCGUCACUUCUUCUCUUUCUCGGGCUUUCAGUGGUCUUCCUCAGCCACGAUGCCGCGUUCAGUCCUCCCGAAGCUGAUGAAGGCUCGUCUUGGUGGGCAAGUUGUUCAGUUACCCUAUCCCUAUGGUGCGGUUCUCAUUGCAUGGUGUAUGGAGAGAAUCGCAGCUCAAGUAAUCGAUGCUUCUUUAAUGCCAUCUUCUGGUCGAAUUUCGACGACCAGUUUUACACUUGACCUGAUCGCACUAGCCUGCAGUAACACUAUCUUGCUACUGAAUUCAGAUGGUUGCAGGCAUCUUGUUUACUAGAAAUGACUCCCAGAAUAGUGCGCCAUUCAGCUCGAUGGAAACAUACAUGCGCUUCUCUGGAUAUAUUGAUGUCUCUUUCUGUUGGUUUCCCUCAAAUUUGAGUCCUUUAAUCUAUAAAGCAAGUAUCAAAUUAUCGGAAAAUUUGGAUCUACUUGAAAAAUCUGAGAAUAUACCGCAUUGUAUUGUGCUUUCUGGUCUAGGUACUUGUUUCAAAGCCAAACGGGGUCAGGAUACGAAGCCUGGAUAGUCUUAUCUCUGACCGGGCUUAUUUUACCGCCGAAUCAGGACAGCACUUAUUAUCCCUCGGUGUUUCUAAUAAGAUCUACUUCGAAUCAUUGAAGUGGCUGAGCAAACCUUGGUUUCGGACUCGUUGUCGAAAAGGAAAGAAAGAAAAAAAGAAAACAGACUUGAGUUCAACUUAGACUGGGUCUUUGAUUCUGUAAUCUUGUCACUACCAGCGUUCUGCAAAGUCCAUGUCAUUUCGUCUUCGACUCGUCUUGUAUGGACUCUUGUACGAGCAUCGUGUGGUUGAAAUUGUGGCCUGGUGGCUAUCUAGACCAUUGUAUUGUGUAAAUAUGUACUUUUUCUGGCUGUAUUGGUUGGUGUGCAUGGUAAAACUACCGUUUGAAUGAAUACGCCCAUCUAAGAAGGCGGGAUAACUAGACUAGCGCUAGGUAUUGAUGUCUUCCCGCUCACGGAUAUAUAUAACCAUAGGUUAGCCCGUAGCUUGCAAGCACCACGAAGUCGAACAUGUAGGAUGAGUAU
rnacentral:lncRNA from 1 species